CGGGCAGGCGACAUGCAGCGGGACUGCGGCCAGGCUGCGGGUCAGUGGCUGGACGGGCGGCCCCCUCCGCCUGUUGCGCGCGCCCCGCACCCGGGGAGUGUGGGGUCGUCCCCGGGACGGGGUCCGGGCGCCCCGGUGCAGCCCAGCCCGGCGGCGUCCAGGCCCGGCAGGGAUUCGGGCCUGCGCCCCCCACCGCCGUGACCUCCUCCCCGCGGGCCUGGCGCCGUCCGUGGCUGCCAGUGCUGAAGCCUCGUGCUCCGGGCCGGCCUGCAAUCCGGGCCCAACGCUGUGGUCGCGGCCGCUGCUUGGGGUGCGCGGUCAGCGGGCGACUCCGGCCAGAAGAGCAGUGGCCUGGUGGGGCGCACUGGGCCCCGGCCCAGGCUCGGCGAACCUGCGCUCGCCUGUCCGUGUGACGCCCGCGGCGAGCUGGGAGCCGGACGUCCCAUCCCCGCAGUGAGAACAGAGGGCAUUCAGUGACUUGAACGCGGCCCCACGGGUCGUUCUGGGUGUAACCAGGGUUCAGCCCGGGUCGGUGGGUGUCGGACCUUCAGCGUCAAGCAUGCAAAUUGGUGCUGGAAAAGUUCAGGUCCAGAACCUUCCUUUAUGCAGAAAAUUCCGUUUCCCACGUUGUAUGGCAGUUAAGCGAAAACUGCAAAAUUCGCUCCUGGCUAAUGUGUUUCCAUCACCGGAGGGCAAGUGACCUUUGGGCCUAAAGUUGAACUCACGGACUGUAUUCUCACGUCCAACACAGACUGACGUCAGCAUAACAGCGGUUCCUGGCCGUGGGUGCCAGGCACUGUAAGAACUGUGUCAUUCCUCAGUGGCCCCCUCUUAGUAGCCUCAUCUUACAGGUGAGAAAACGGAGGCACCAAGUGGUGAUGUGGCUGGGAGGUGGCACAGCUGGCUGGGAAGCCAGACCUUCCAGCUGAGUCACAGGUGUGCUCACUGUGCUGUCCAGCCAGUGGGGAUGCUGGGGCUCCAGGGUAGCCCCCACCUCUCUCGAUUGGAGAUCCUGAGCCAGACAUAGAGCAUUCCUGAGCCUCAGUUUACUCCUAGUUAAAAUGAGGGCAUUAGGCAAAGCGAUCACCAUGGCUUUGCCCUCCAGGGAACCUAAGACUUGGUAUUGACCUUGUGGGCUGUGUUCUUGCCCGCUGCUGUUUCUGCAGCCCUUGCCUGGGGCCUGCUACUCUGUCCCACCCGGGCCCUUAUGUCUGUCCACUGACUGAAGGAAUGAGCUGAGAGCUGUCUCUCGAAUGGGCUCCUCCUGCUGCCUGGCUGCACCGGGACCUUUGGAAAGGGGGCCACGAGCCCAGCAGGGUGAGGGCAUCUGAAGACACACGUCGGGCUGCACUGGAUGGGAGAGGAUUUCUGUUUGUCUGCAAGGUGGCUGGGGAGAUAGCAAGAGUAGGCAGUUCAGGGUGGAUGGUCCCAUCUGCCCCUACCCUGUUAUGGACACUUGGGAAGGGCACUGACCUCUCUGAACUUUCUCCACCUGUGGAUAUCGCCAUGGUGAUAAGAGUCAGACUGAAGAUGAAGUGGGAUGAUAUGCGUGAAGUGUCUGAUCGUUGUGCAUUUUGAUGCCCACCUUUCAGAGCUGGUGAUAUAAGUUGGAUUAGAGUGGGGUUGCAUGAGCCGUGAGGGCCCAGCCUCCUGGACCCUCGAAUGCCAGGCUGGGACCUGGACCGUAUGCUGAAGUCAGGGGAGGCUACAGAAGAGUGUGAGCAGAGGAGGUGGUGGGACUCUCGCCCAUGGGCCCAGAGACAGGGACCCCUGGGAGGAAGGCGAGGCCUACACUGGUGGUGGCCAUGAAAUGGGUCGAGCCCCACGGAAGGCAGUGUGCCAGCCAGGGUCUUUCUGGAUGAAUUCAGUGGCUCUAAGUGGGCAGAAAGAGCUCCAAGACACAGUCAACAAAAGACGCAAAUUAAGUGCCUGCAGAAUUCCUUCUCCCAUCUCCAGAUGGACCAGGUGGCCUGCCCCCCGGGAGCUCCGUGAUCCAGGCCCACUGCCGGGACCUGGCGUCUCUGCCUGUGCAACAAGUCGUGCUGGCCAACCAGAGGGACCCCAAGGAGCAGGACACGGAGGAACCAAAGAAAAGGAGAGGGGGCUGGCCCAAAGGCAAGAAAAGGAAGCCCCUGAGGGACCUUUCUGUUCCCCGCGCUCCUACGACAGGGUACGCGAUCUUCCUAAACGAGCAGAGAAGUCAGCUGAGGGCCGAGCACCCAGAUCUGCCUUUUACAGAAAUCACGAAGAUGCUGGCUGUGCAGUGGGAUCAGCUGUCUCACGAGAAAAAGCGGCUGCCGUGCCGGAGGUCCUCCAAAGCCGAGUUCAAAGCCUGCCUUACACCGUUAUCAGCUGUCCCCUCAGUGGGCCUCAAGUCCCUGCAGUCCUCAGACCACAUGUGGCAGAAUGGUGAAGACCACAGGGAGGCAGGUUUCAGCUGAUUGGAAGGAAAACCUUCUGUACUGUCAGCAUCUUUCAAACAAGGAAUGACCUUGCUGCGGUAUAUUUACGAGGCGGAUGAGGACAAGCAGCGCUACAUGCGCGAGCCGGGAGCCUACCAGAGCUCCGAGGCUUACCGAGCCUUCCUGCGGAGGCAGGCAGCACACAAGGUGCAGGCGCUGUGCGGGACGAGUACACCAGGAAGUGGCUUUGAGAGCGAGGGCCUUGACUUCUCAGCAACUGACGCGGCACCUUUUGGUGCUCAUGCGGCUGCCGUGCUCUGCCCGGUAAGGAAGGGACAUGCAGCCAGGAGGCCCCUGGCCGCAGCUCAGUGCCUGGUGCCCCGUGCAGGUCAGUUGCUCCUGGUUGAGUCUGAAGGGGAACGUGAGUUGAUUCUAGAAGGUGAAGACUCACAUUUUGAUUGACAGCCAUCUAGAGUGGAUGGUCCUUGGUUGGGUUUUUCCUUUGACUGUAUCUUGGACACUCUGUGAUCCGUUUUCUCUGUAGUGGGUCCUAAUCUUGGCUUCAGGUUGCAAAAGAAGGCAUUGUAGGGAUUAUCUGAAUGAGUUUGGGUCCCUUCAUGAUUGUGCAACAGGUCACCAAACCUAACAGGCUCCCAGCUUCCACCCUGGACUAUCAUGAUUAAGUGUACAAGGAAGGUAUUUCUUUAAGCAGAAGUGAGAGUAUGGAAUUUUGUGUCAAGGCGUGCAUGUGGCUAGGACGUCCCCUCUGGUGUCCCGGCCCUGACCGCAGGGGGCAUUCGGAGACCCUUUCUUCCUUUCUCGGUGGUGUUGGCACCGCAGCCCUCUCUCCCUUCCGUGAGUUCCCUCCCACAGUCCUCCCAUCUCGCUGCCCAGCCCUCCCCAGCCUUCCUCUCCCCGGAACUCCCCCAGCCCUGGGGAUGCCCUCGCUGCCAUCUCUGCGCAGGCUCGUUCUGCUCUCCUCGUGAGAGGUGGAGCACAGGCUCACGGUGGGCGUGGAAGAAAUCGCACAACGGCGUCUCCCAGGUCGGGGCUCAUCUCCGGGCUGAGGGAGCUCCUCUCUGAUAAGGGAGAGAAUUCUGAGAAAAGGUGAGCAACAGAGCGUCCAGAGCACGGUCAUUUCCUGGCCGGCUCCCGGGAGGAACGUAUCAACUCCAAGUCAGGAACCAGCUCUCAUCAGACCUUGGGGAGUUUUUACAUCUCUGAACUAAUAAAUGGCCUGCGAGCAGUUCUUCAGUUCCCCGCAUAACAAGAAAGAGCACCUGCCGGGGAGCCAGCACCUGCAGGACCCCACCCGUGACCGGCGCUGCUCUGCUCCUGCACAAACGCAGGCCUUGACUCCACCUGCGCUGGAGUGCACCAACCGGCAGCCACAGACGCCCUGUUACUUAAUGUUAAGACAGGAUCUAAGCAAAUGCUCUGAUGCCAGGCGCUGAACCCGGGGCUGGGGACACAGAAAGAAUUGACACAGCUCUGUCCCAAGGAAACGCUAGUAUAUGGAUUAAUACGAACAACCUGUGUUAAAACGUCUUGUGUUGAAGUGAAAGGAGACCCAUAGAAACAGGCCUGCCCCCAGUGAUGACAACUACUGAGAUCACAGUGCUCUGGGACUAAAGAAGAUCCUCCGGGAAUGGAAACGGUUGUGUCCAGUGCUGGACUAUGGGGUGACUUUUUUUUCUUUUCUUUGCCUACUCUUUUUUUUUUUUUUGCUGGGAAAGAUUCGCCUU